GGGCGCAUGGUUUAGUGGUAUAAUUCCUCUUUAGCACAUAAUAAGGCUCUAAAAUAGAGGCGGUCCCUGGUUCGAUUCCUGGUGUGUCCA